AUUGAACGCUGGCGGCAGGCUUAACACAUGCAAGUCGAGCGGAGUGAUGGUGCUUGCACUAUCACUUAGCGGCGGACGGGUGAGUAAUGCUUAGGAAUCUGCCUAUUAGUGGGGGACAACAUCUCGAAAGGGAUGCUAAUACCGCAUACGUCCUACGGGAGAAAGCAGGGGAUCACUUGUGACCUUGCGCUAAUAGAUGAGCCUAAGUCGGAUUAGCUAGUUGGUGGGGUAAAGGCCUACCAAGGCGACGAUCUGUAGCGGGUCUGAGAGGAUGAUCCGCCACACUGGGACUGAGACACGGCCCAGACUCCUACGGGAGGCAGCAGUGGGGAAUAUUGGACAAUGGGGGGAACCCUGAUCCAGCCAUGCCGCGUGUGUGAAGGAGGCCUUAUGGUUGUAAAGCACUUUAAGCGAGGAUGAGGCUCUUUUGGUUAAUACCCAAGAUGAGUGGACGUUACUCGCAGAAUAAGCACCGGCUAACUCUGUGCCAGCAGCCGCCGUAA
rnacentral:rRNA from 1 species